UCCUACGGGAGGCAGCAGUGGGGAAUAUUGGACAAUGGGCGAAAGCCUGAUCCAGCAAUGCCGCGUGAGUGAUGAAGGCCUUAGGGUUGUAAAGCUCUUUUGCCAGGGAUGAUAAUGACAGUACCUGGAGAAUAAGCUCCGGCUUUUCUCCGUGCCAGCAGCCGCGGUAAUA
rnacentral:rRNA from 1 species